CUGAAGAUUAUACCUAACACCAGGGGAUGGCUUAUUAAUCAUACUUCUAGAAGAAUUUGGAGAAUCUUCUACCAACACCGUGGCUGGGAGCAGAGGGAGGAAGAACCAAAGGCUAGAUUGUAACUGUGGGAAUCACAAAAUUGUGGGCGACGGUGUUAAGGCGAGGGAAACACUUGAAGUACCCAGUCACCUAGCUUCGUUGGAAGGCACGAAAGAUUGACAAUCUAUUAUGAAUGCUUCAGAUGCCAGAUAAAUAUUUCAAUGCAAAUGAAUAAAGGAUGG
rnacentral:lncRNA from 1 species